CCUUUUGUGUAUUUAACCAUUUGUUUUUUAUUAUUGGCUUCUCUACGCCUCCUGAACAGUAAUCAAGCGACCAAAUUGAUGGGGAGCAUUAUAACUACUACUACUAAUUUCAUAGUGAGCAUUAUCUCUCGUUUUAAAAUCAUCUUUAUCAAAUUAGUGCAUGGUUUCUUGUCUUGCCAUUUCUAACUCUAUAUCUUCAUCAUCAUCAUCCGACUCCACUUGGUUUAUUUCCAUUGUUUCUUUUUCCAGCUCUCUUUUUCUUUUUGUUUUAUCUCUUCUUCUU
rnacentral:misc_RNA from 1 species